GACGAACGCUGGCGGCGUGCUUAACACAUGCAAGUCGAGCGAAGUGGCGAACGGGUGAGUAAUACGUGGGGAACCUGCCCUCCUUUCUGGGAUAAGCAUUGGAAACGGGGUCUAAUACCGACUAAUGGGGGAUGGGCUCGUGGCCUAUCUGCUUGUGGGUGGGGGGGUGGCCUACCAAGUCGGGGACGGGUAGCCGGCCUGAGAGGGUGACCGGCCACAUUGGGACUGAGAUACGGCCCAGACUCCUACGUGAGGCAGCAGUGGGGGAUAUUGCACAAUGGGCGAAAGCCUGAUGCGGCGACGCCGCGUGGGUGAUGGAGGCUUUCGGGUUGUAAACCUCUUACGCUAUCGAAAGGGUAGGUGGAGAAGAAGCGCCGGCUAACUACGUGCCAGCAGCCGCGGUAAUUC
rnacentral:rRNA from 1 species